rnacentral:rRNA from 1 species
CCCAGACUCCUACGGGAGGCAGCAGUGGGGAAUAUUGGGCAAUGGACGCAAGUCUGACCCAGCAACGCCGCGUGAAGGAAGAAGGCUUUCGGGUUGUAAACUUCUUUUAAGGGGGAAGAGCAGAAGACGGUACCCCUUGAAUAAGCCACGGCUAACUACGUGCCAGCAGCCGCGGUAAUACGGAGGGGGCAAGCGUUAUCCGGAUUUACUGGGUGUAAAGGGAGUGUAGGUGGCAUAACAAGUCAGAAGUGAAAGCCCGGGGCUCAACCGCGGGACUGCUUUUGAAACUGUUAAGCUUGAGUGCAGGAGAGGUAAGCGGAAUUCCUAGUGUAGCGGUGAAAUGCGUAGAUAUUAGGAGGAACACCAGUGGCGAAGGCGGCUUACUGGACUGUAACUGACACUGAGGCUCGAAAGCGUGGGGAGCAAACAGGAUUAGAUACCCGUGUA